rnacentral:siRNA from 1 species
UUCGUCGACCAGGACGGCCGGAUG